GAUGAACGCUAGCGGCAGGCCUAACACAUGUAAGUCGAGGGGUAGAGGAAGCUUGCUUCCUUGAGACCGGCGCACUGGUGCGUAACGCGUAUGUAAUCUACUUUUUACCGAGGGAUAUCCCAGAGACGUUUGGAUUAAUACCUCCUAGUAUAUAUCGUUCGCCUGUUUGAUAUAUUAAAGUUCCAACGUCAAAAGAUGGGCAUGCGUCACAUUAGUUAGUUGGUAAGGUAACGGCUUACCAAGACGAUGAUGGGUAGGGGUCCUGAGAGGGAGAUCCCCCACACUGGUACUGAGACACGGACCAGACUCCUACGGGAGGCAGCAGUGAGGGAUAUUGGUCAAUGGACGAAAGUCUGAACCAGCCAUGCCGCGUGCAGGAAGACGGUCCUAUGGAUUGUAAACUGCUUUUGUACGGGAAGAAACACUCCUACGUGUAGGUGCCUGACGGUACCGUAAGAGUAAGGAUCGGCUAACUCCGUGCCUGCCGCCGCGGUAAUAC
rnacentral:rRNA from 1 species